rnacentral:rRNA from 1 species
AGUGGGGAAUUUUGGACAAUGGGGGCAACCCUGAUCCAGCCAUUCCGCGUGAGUGAAGAAGGCCUUCGGGUUGUAAAGCUCUUUCGGCAGGAACGAAACGGUAGUUACUAAUACUAGCUGCUAAUGACGGUACCUGAAGAAGAAGCACCGGCUAACUACGUGCCAGCAGCCGCGGUAAUACGUAGGGUGCGAGCGUUAAUCGGAAUUACUGGGCGUAAAGCGUGCGCAGGCGGUUUUGUAAGACAGAUGUGAAAUCCCCGGGCUUAACCUGGGAACUGCGUUUGUGACUGCAAGACUUGAGUGCGGCAGAGGGGGGUGGAAUUCCGCGUGUAGCAGUGAAAUGCGUAGAUAUGCAGAGGAACACCGAUGGCGAAGGCAGCCCCCUGGGUCGACACUGACGCUCAUGCACGAAAGCGUGGGGAGCAAACAGGAUUAGAUACCCUGGUAGUCCACGCCCUAAACGAUGCCAACUAGGUGUUGGGGAAGGAGACUNCCUUAGUACCGUAGCUAACGCGUGAAGUUGGCCGCCUUAANAGGGCGGUCGCAAGAUUA